AUUGAACGCUGGCGGCAGGCUUAACACAUGCAAGUCGAGCGGAGCGAGGGUGCUUGCACCUUAGCUUAGCGGCGGACGGGUGAGUAAUGCUUAGGAAUCUGCCUAUUAGCGGGGGACAACAUUCCGAAAGGGAUGCUAAUACCGCAUACGCCCUACGGGGGAAAGCAGGGGAUCUUCGGACCUUGCGCUAAUAGAUGAGCCUCAGUCGGAUUAGCUAGUUGGUGGGGUAAAGGCCUACCAAGGCGACGAUCUGUAGCGGGUCUGAGAGGAUGAUCCGCCACACUGGGACUGAGACACGGCCCAGACUCCUACGGGAGGCAGCAGUGGGGAAUAUUGGACAAUGGGCGGAAGCCUGAUCCAGCCAUGCCGCGUGUGUGAAGAAGGCCUUUUGGUUGUAAAGCACUUUAAGCGAGGAGGAGGCUACUAGUAUUAAUACUACUGGAUAGUGGACGUUACUCGCAGAAUAAGCACCGGCUAACUCCGUGCCAGCCGCCGCCGUAACAC
rnacentral:rRNA from 1 species